GAGCAAUGAUUGUCCGAUUGCAAUGGCAAUGGAGGUGUUGCGUUGCUCGGAGAACAAAUCUUCUGCUCUUCAGAUCGGCUGAGGCUGGUCUUGUAUUCUUAAGAACAUC
rnacentral:snoRNA from 2 species